AUGAUCAACCGCGAGCGCAACUACCUCCUCGCGGAAGGCUUCAUCGUCAACACCAUGGACGCGUUGGAGCACGAGACGCUGGUGGCGUUCAAAGAGCUUUCUGACAAGGGCGUGUACCCUCCGGCGUACGCUGUGGGUCCAUUCACCCGGGGGCGGUCCACCGACUCCGACGAGGUCAAGCACAGCUGCUUACGGUGGCUGGACAACCAGCUGGAUGGCUCGGUCUUGUACGUGUCCUUCGGCAGCGGCGGCACGCUAUCCACGGCGCAGACGGCCGAGCUAGCGGCUGGGCUGGAGGCGAGCGGGCAGAGGUUCCUCUGGGUGGUGCACCACCCCAACGACAAGGACAGUAGCGCGGCCUACCUUGGCACUGCCGCUACCGAUGCCGACCCGCUGAGCUAUCUGCCCGACGCGUUCGUCGAGAGGAUGAACGGUACAGGGCUCCUUGUGCCACUGUGGGCGCCGUAG
rnacentral:rRNA from 1 species